GAUUGGCUCUCCAGGCUAAUGAACCCCUUCCCAUUAGGCGUUUCCUGCUAGCUUUCUGGCCGGGAAAGCAGGGUGGUGGCUGUCGCUCUGGUCUGGUACUUGUCUGCUGCAACCUCGAGGUGCAGAAAAUGCUCAGAGCCCUGGACAAACAGUCCUUCGCUAGACCUGCCUGGGAAGGGGAUUAGCUACGGGGUGUGAACAGCUGAGAUGGUGUGGCUGUGCCUUGGUUCCCAGUACUUUUGUACUCUUUUUUGGACCUUCUAUCAUGUCAGUUGCGGAGGCUACAAGUCCAAAAUGAAGGUGCUGAGAGAACCGUGCUUUCCUGGAAGUCUGUAGAAGAGGAUUCUUUCUUGUUUCAGCCUCUGGCAGCCCUAGGCAUUUCUUGGCUUGAGGCAACAUCACUUCGAUCUCUGCUUCUAACAACAUGGUCAUCUUUGUAUCUGUUUCCUCUUCUUCUGAGGACACCAGUCAUAUUGGAUUGGGGCUCACCUUCCUCCAGUAUGACCUCAGUUUACCUUAACUAAUUACAUCUGCAAUGACUCUAUUUACAAAGAAAGUCACAUUCUGAAAUAUUGGGGGGUUAGGGCUUCGACAUAUCCUCUUUGAGGGGAGACGAUUCAACACACAUCAGAGCCCUUCCACUGUCCAUCACAACAGACCUUGAAGCCAGGAGGGUUCCAGGGCACUUCUCCAGCUUCACUUCCAGAUAUGCUUCUGACCAUGGCAGCCAUGUUUCCCUCUGCAUUGCCUAGUUCAGGGCCCUGCCACAGCCAGGGAGGAUGAAACACUGCACGCAUACCCUUAUCUCAUUGCGUCCCAUGCAUCCUGGGCUUGGAAAGCCUGUCACGGGGAAAGAAGGCACAGUGUUUACAGGGAGUCUGCUGAAUUUAUAUCUGUAUAUGAAUGCAAGUAUGAACUCAAACACUAACUUUAGCCAGCAUUUAACGGUGGCAUCUAUGCUAGAUGUUGUGCUGAGUACUUGACAUUUUGUCUCCCUUAAUCCUUACAAUAACCCUUAAGAGGCAGGAACUUUCAUCCCAUUUUACUAACAGGUAGACUGAGGGUUAAAGAGGUAAAGUAACUUGCCCAAGGUCCCAAACAGCUCGUGAUGGGGCCAGAAUUUUGACGUUGCUGGACUCCAAAGUGUCUGCUUAAAACAACUUUGCUAUUCUGCUUCCCAAACCAAAUGUAUGACAAAGCAAGCAACUUGCAAAUAUAGGUACUCACUUUAGGUAACAAAUUACUCGUGACGAUCCCUUAUGAAUGAGUCUGAGAACUGCUGGUGUGCGGUUGAAUGCCUGGUGUAUUGAUCUCAGCCUCACUGGGUCUGGGCAGGUAGCUCACUGAUGCUCGCAGGUAGCCCUCUAGGGCCCUUAGAGUUUGACAUGGCUGCAGGUGCCUGGCUUUAUUAAGAGUGCCUGGGGAGCUGAGGCUGGAGAGAGGGCUGCCCAUGACUUUUGUAAAUCCCUCUAAACCUCUCUGCAAGAGAGUAUGUGAGAGCUACACUGUGAGUUAGGGAUCCACCAGAACGUCUGGAGACCCUACAGGAGUGUGGGGCUUAGGCCAGUUCCCCAAGAAUGACUCAUUCCUUGUAAGAAGAGAACCAAGUGUCUGCAAAAGUUCAACCAAGGAGAAGGGAAAGGAAAAGGGAGGCAGUUGCUGUUCCCUCCAGAUGUCACUGUGGAAGAUUCUUAAUGAGCGGUUAAGAGUUUCAGCCAAGUGGAAUGGAGACCACAGCAGCCAGGCAAGAGACAGGAGCUGGAGGAGCCUUUGACAGGGGCAGGACAGGGAAUAAGAAAGCUAUUCAGAGUGGAAGCCAAGAGGACUUGGAAAGUCCUUGAUACUGGAUUUGGAAAGGUCUUUUGACCAGGGCUUCAAGAAGUUUGGGGCUUCCCUGAAAUUAAAUGCAAAUUUUGGGCAUUCACACACUUGGAUCCAGACCCCAUCUUCUCCCACUGCCCCAGCCCUGAUUAGUUUCUCACUGGGGUGGGACUCAAAGAACUAUUGUCCCAAACUGUUCCCAGCAAGGGAUAAAUGUUUGUCUAAUGUGGUGUGGUAGCUCUUCUAGAGUAGUGGAAGCCAAGACUGCUCUCCGCCAAAUCUAGGAGAAAGCCACUGGGUCUCCCCACCUUGAGGGGUGUCAGCAGCUGCAAGGCUCCUUUGCAAACUGUGUUCAGGUGUGUGGGCUCCACCCCUUGGGAGGUCAGAGGAUGCACUUUGGCCCUAACACCCUCAGCAGACCUCACAGUCCAACUGUUAUUCUGAAGCUCCUCCUCCAAAAGAAUUUCACACCUGUGGAUGCAUGAUCGUCUAUGUUGCAACCACACAGGACCCUCAGAAGAGAGUUUAACAAAAUAAUUAAAUGAGUGAUUUGCCCCUUGCCCCUUUCUUCCCAUCUGUGUUCACUGAAGAUACAUAAAACCUAAUGACUCACACUUUGCUCUGAACUAAACCAUCUGCCAUUUCAAGCUUGGUUGUCUCCCCACCUGCCUUCCCUCACUCAGUUCCAGAGGGUGGUCCCUAUUGCUAGGUUUUACUGGGGGAGCUUCUUCAAGAAGCCAGGAUUCUUCCCCUCUGCUGAGAUCAACCAAUAAUAGUCUUGUUCC
rnacentral:lncRNA from 1 species